UAUUCUGCCCCAUGGGGAAGGAUGAGAAGCUUCGACUAAGGUUCGACUCGAGCGAAGCGAGAGAACGUUGCCGCAGGCAACGGCCCGAAGGGCGAGGCGCUUUAGCGCCGAGUAAUCCUUCCCCCACCACUU
rnacentral:sRNA from 1 species